AUGUCCAUGAGGAUAGGAUCACUAUUAAAUCAUCAGAAUAAGUCUGCUCCUGUUGCAACGCACGGGCAAUGGGAGAAAUGUGAUGUCCAUGCAUUUGGGAGAAUCAAGAAAGAAAGAAAAGAAGAGCGCUUCAAGGGUAAAAAGGUAGUUGCCGAUGCAGCCCGUUGCAACGCACGUGCAUCCCAUCAUGCAACAUGGAAUGUGUUUGCCUAUUUUGUUUUUCAUUUUAUGCUCUGGUGGAACGGUAAAGAAUUGGUCAAGCCGGUUUGCACGAUGAAAUGGGUAUGA
rnacentral:rRNA from 1 species